UACGAAGGGGGCUAGCGUUGUUCGGAAUUACUGGGCGUAAAGCGCACGUAGGCGGAUACUUAAGUCAGGGGGUGAAAUCCCGGGGGCCUCCAACCCCGGAACUGCCUUUGAUACUGGGUAUCUCGGAGUCCGGAAGAGGUGAGUGGAAUUCCGAGUGUAGAGGUGAAAUUCGUAGAUAUUCGGAGGAACACCAGUGGCGAAGGCGGCUCACUGGUCCGGUACUGACGCUGAGGUGCGAAAGCGUGGGGAGCAAACAGGG
rnacentral:rRNA from 1 species